rnacentral:rRNA from 1 species
CACGUAGGGGCCAAGCGUUGUCCGGAUUUAUUGGGCGUAAAGAGCUCGUAGGCGGUUCGACAAGUCGGGUGUGAAAACUCCGGGCUCAACCCGGAGACGCCACCCGAUACUGUCAUGACUGGAGUCCGGUAGGGGAGUGGGGAAUUCCUGGUGUAGCGGUGAAAUGCGCAGAUAUCAGGAGGAACACCGGUGGCGAAGGCGCCACUCUGGGCCGGUACUGACGCUGAGGAGCGAAAGCGUGGGUAGCAAACAGG